AUUGAACGCUGGCGGCAGGCCUAACACAUGCAAGUCGGGCGGGCGGCGGACGUGUGAGUAAUGUAUGUGGAUGUGCCUGGUGGAGGGGGAUCGCUACUGGGAACGGUAGCUACUACCGCAUACCAUCAGCUGAACCCAUAUGGGAAUAGCUUGUAGGUGAGGUAACGGCUCACCUAGGCGACUAUCCCUAGCUGGUCUGAGAGGAUGACCAGCCACACUGGAACUGAGACACGGUCCAGACUCCUACGGGAGGCAGCAGUGGGGAAUAUUGCGCAAGGGGCGAAACCCUGACGCAGCCAUGCCGCGUGAAUGAAGAAGGUCUUCGGGUUGUAAAGUUCUUUAGGUAGCGAGGCGUUAACAACAGAAGAAGCACCGGCUAACUCCGUGCCAGCAGCCGCGGUAAUAC
rnacentral:rRNA from 1 species